AUUGAACGCUGGCGGCAUGCCUUACACAUGCAAGUCGAACGGUAACAGGUCUUCGGAUGCUGACGAGUGGCGAACGGGUGAGUAAUACAUCGGAACGUGCCUAGUAGUGGGGGAUAACUACUCGAAAGAGUGGCUAAUACCGCAUGAGAUCUACGGAUGAAAGCAGGGGAUCGCAAGACCUUGUGCUACUAGAGCGGCCGAUGGCAGAAUAGGAAGUUGGUGGGAUAAAAGCUUACCAAGCCGACGAUCUGUAGCUGGUCUGAGAGGACGAUCAGCCACACUGGGACUGAGACACGGCCCAGACUCCUACGGGAGGCAGCAGUGGGGAAUUUUGGACAAUGGGCGCAAGCCUGAUCCAGCAAUGCCGCGUGCAGGAUGAAGGCCUUCGGGUUGUAAACUGCUUUUGUACGGAACGAAAAGCCCCGGGUUAAUACCCUGGGGUCAUGACAGUACCGUAAGAAUAAGCACCGGCUAACUACGUGCCAGCAGCCGCGGUAA
rnacentral:rRNA from 1 species